UUUCCUUGCCCCCUUUCCCCUCACGGUUCCGCCCUUUCCUCGCCCCCUUUCCCCUCACGGUUCCGCCCUUUCCUCGCCCCCUUUCCCCUCACGGUUCCGGCCCUUUCCUUGCCCCCUUUCCCCUCACGGUUCGGCCUUCGGGAACGGGGCAGGAGGAGGAGGAGGGAGGGAGGAAGAGGCCGAGCAGCAGGAGCAGCAGCAGCAGCAGAAGAGCAGAGGGAGAAUCUGGUGGCCCUGGCGCUCCCUGAAGCCGCCGCAGCCCCGGGAGCAUCGCCCCCCAUCCCGCAGGUGCCCGGGGAGGGGGAGCUCGGCCCAAAGAUCCCGGGGGGUCCCUGGCUUUGGGGUUUUUUCGGGGGAUGUUUGCAGCUGGCAGGGCUCCCAAGCCCAGCCGCAGAUGGCCCUCGGGGGGACAUCGGGGGGUCCCCGGGAGGUGUUUUUGGGGGUCCCAGAGCCGGCAGUGGUUUCUCCCAGUAUGAGCCCUGUCACUCCCAGUGGUUCCCUAUGAUGACGCAACUUGCUGCCAGGAAGAUCCCAGUUGCUCCCAGUUUGAUCCAGUGUGUUCCCAGUUCUCCCAGCUACCCCUAGCAUAGUCCUACUCACUCCCAGUGUGGUUCCGCCCUUGGCCUGAGAGGGGCAAUUGUGGGAAUCCAUGGGAUUCGAGGAUUUUAGGACAGUUGGGAAAAAGAAAGGCCUCAGAGACAGUAAGGAUAGUGAAAUGCUAAAGCAGCAGAAAAGAUAUAUUGGCAGUAGUGAAGACAUGAGAACUAGAACAAUAAAGCUGUGUAGUUUGACUUUCUAACUUGCAAAAAGUCUAUUUUAUUGAAUAUUUAGAAGGUUAAAUAUCAAUGGGGCUCUGUGCUUUGUUGCUUAGAAAUGAGCCAUCGUAUGAGAGAAAAAGCUGCUACUGUUUUAACCAAAGCUCCAUGUGGCUGGACAGAACUACUGUCAAUAUGCUUUUGCUCGAUGUAAUUGGCUGAAACUGGGCCUGAGACUGUCUUAGAGUGUGUUGAGACAUGAAGUUUCCUGGGGCUGCUGUGUGGACAGCGAGCUGCUGGCAUGGAUGCAUUGCCAGAGCCCUGCACUGGGGCUGAUGCUGCUGAAAUGAACAGCUCACGGCGCUGUUCAGGCGUGGCCCCGUUCCGCUCGUGUCUGUGUAUAAACGGCCACGCCAAGCGCUGCCCCUCUGUGAGCAGAACGUGAGACUAGGAUAGAAAAGGAAAUCUUGGAAAAACUCGGGCAGCGGAGGCCCAGGUUGUUAAACAGGAGGAAUGUAUCAUCCCCUCUUUGUCUGCAUCUAAUGUCUUUCGCCCGGUGCUUUUCUCGGGAACGAUUCCGGUGUCGGCUCCUCCGGAGGCUGCGAACCGGAGCAGCUUCCAGCUGGGGCCGCGUCCCCGCUUUCUGCCGGCCCUCUCAGCGUCUCUGCAGUUGAGAGCAGUCCUUCGCCGCUCCCUCUGGGAAGAAAGGAACUCUUGCCGUGUCGGGAAAUAUGUUCGGAAUUUUCCUUGCGUUCCGGGAAUGAGACCGAGCGCGAGUUCUGUUCGGGGGCGGGGGGUGCGAGCCGCGCGAAGGCGGGAGAUGAGAAUUGACAGAGGUCUUGUGAUAAAGGAAUUACGUGUUCUGAAAGUGAA